GUGGUGGUGGGGAUGGAACCCAGUGCCUCACGUGUGCUAGUAUGGACAGAAGUAUCUCAAGGACACAAAAGCACUGGAUACCUUGAACUGACAGUGAAUACUGAAACACGAGCACAGUGCUAUGCAGACCACCAUUGUCCCAGUGCACGAAACAGCAACCAAUUCACAUGAUACCACCCAAGAAGCUCAGAUGGCAGGGAUAGUGUUUCUGGGAUCAUAGGAAGUGAACACUGGCGUUGUGAUCACCUUAAUUUGACUGGUGAAGUAACUGAAGCCCAGAAGAAGUAAAUGACUGAUAAGAGGCAGAGGCCACUAAGUGGCAAAGAUAGGCCUUAAACUCACAGGUCUGCAUUGUGUUCAGGACUUAUGACAAUAGCUCAUAUCAAAGUCGACAAAGCUGAAGACUGAACUAUUUGUUCCAACCCACGGGGAGCACCUGGCAGUGUCGGACUUUGGGGCCAGCUUCUGCAACUCUUUUGCUAACCCCCCUUCCAAUUUACCACACAGAUCACUGUCCACGGUUCCCUAAGGACCAGAGGGGAAAAACGGCCUCAUACCAAAAAGGCAAAGCUCCAGAGCAAGGCUCAUGCUCGCUGAGAAGUCUGCUUUUUAAAUGCUCAUCAGAAGCCAGGAUGACAAACUCAAGAGAUCGGAUACAAAAGCGGUUGAGCGUGUAAGAAGGUGGCCUCUUGCUGAUGGACCGGAUGAGAGCAGCCAGAGGUACAUUCAUGCAGGCUCCAGCUCGAUGGGCUUAACCCAUCCAACCAGCCCACCUGACUUCCCAGGAGUUGACAAAUAGGUGAUUCUGCUGGGGGACUGAGAAAGAACUCAGCCGAGGACAGCAACAUCAGAGCCUGCCUUCAUCACAACACGAGGACCUUAAGAGCCGAGGGGGUAAAUGUCGCCGGGAUUAUCAUGGGGUGACUAAUUUACUUUGACAGACUUUCCUGUAUUUUCUAUCCUUUUUUAAGAAUAAACAUAGGCCACACUUAUA